rnacentral:rRNA from 1 species
UACAGAGGGUGCAAGCGUUAAUCGGAAUUACUGGGCGUAAAGCGUGCGCAGGCGGUUUUGUAAGCCAGAUGUGAAAUCCCCGGGCUUAACCUGGGAAUGGCAUUUGGGACUGCAAGGCUGGAGUUUGGCAGAGGAGACUGGAAUUCCUGGUGUAGCAGUGAAAUGCGUAGAUAUCCGGAGGAACACCGGUGGCGAAGGCGGCAUCCUGGACCGGCAUUGACGCUGAUGAGCGAAAGCUAGGGGAGCAAACGGG